GACAGUGUAGCGCAAUGGAUAGAGCGCAAAAUCUUGCCCUGGGAAUGUUGGUUCGACUCCAACCGCUAUUA
rnacentral:tRNA from 1 species